rnacentral:rRNA from 1 species
CACAUCACGAAAGUGGAUUGUACUAGAAGUCUGCAGGCUGACCCGCAAGGGAGGCAGCGGCCCAAGGUAUGAUCCAUGAUUGGGGUG